UACAGAGGUCUCAAGCGUUGUUCGGAUUCAUUGGGCGUAAAGGGUGCGUAGGCGGUGGAGUAAGUCAGGUGUGAAAUCUCGGGGCUCAACCCCGAAACUGCACUUGAUACUGCUUUGCUAGAGUACUGGAGAGGAGAUUGGAAUUUACGGUGUAGCAGUGAAAUGCGUAGAUAUCGUAAGGAAGACCAGUGGCGAAGGCGAAUCUCUGGACAGUUACUGACGCUGAGGCACGAAGGCCAGGGGAGCAAACGGG
rnacentral:rRNA from 1 species